rnacentral:rRNA from 1 species
AGUGAACGCUGGCGGCAGGCCUAACACAUGCAAGUCGAACGGCAGCACAAGAGAGCUUGCUCUCUGGGUGGCGAGUGGCGGACGGGUGAGGAAUGCAUCGGAAUCUGCCCAUUUGUGGGGGAUAACCUCGGGAAACCGGGACUAAUACCGCAUACGACCUACGGGUGAAAGCAGGGGAUCUUCGGACCUUGCGCAGAUGGAUGAGCCGAUGCCGGAUUAGCUAGUUGGAGGGGUAAAGGCCCACCAAGGCGACGAUCCGUAGUUGGUCUGAGAGGAUGAUCAGCCACACUGGGACUGAGACCCGGCCCAGACCCCUACGGGAGGCAGCAGGGGGGAAUUUUGGAAAAUGGGCGAAAGCCUGAUCCAGCCAUGCCGCGUGUGUGAAAAAGGCCUUGGGGUUGUAAAGCACUUUUGUUGGGAAAAAAAAGCAGCCGGUUAAUACCCGGUUUUCAUGACGGUACCAAAAAAAUAAGCACCGGCUAACUUCGU